UGCCAAUUUACAUCUGUUGUCCCUAUAUUUAAAAAAAAGGCAACCUGAGAUAUAAUAGAAUGGUCUGAUUUAUAAAAAUACAAAUAUCAACGCUCAAACCAUUCGAUGAUUAAAAAUCAAGCUGUACAAUAUAACACAAAGCCACAGAUACAUAAUUAAACUAAAUCACAAUGUAUGUAUGUAAAUACAGGUAGAGAAUAAACUACACUUUAACUUUAGUUGAGAAUCUGAAUGAACAAAUAAUAAAAUAAGAGCAGGGAUGAACUCCAAGGUCCACAACCCCCUGCGGCCAAUCACAGGGCGAGUUGUACAGGAAGUAGUAAACCAUGUGACAAGUGGUAAACUAUAUGACAAGUAUUAAUUUGUCUAAAUUGGUAAGAGAAUAAAUUAAAUCCAUAACUUAAGAGAAUAAACUGUUGCUGUUAAUAUAAGUAUAUUAAUUAUUUCGUAUUUUAUUCAUUUUGAAUCAAUCAUCACUUUAACUGGAGCUGAUCUGAAACGAACAAAUAAUAAAAUGAGAUGAACUCCAAGGCCCACAAUCCCCUGCGGCCAAUCACAGGGCGAGUUGUACAGGAAGUAGUAAACAAGCCUGUUUUGACGGACAGCAGGUUUUGACGAAUAGAAGAGCUGGAAUGGCCGCGGCGGGCCAAUCACAGGCGAGGUGGGCGGGCCUCGUGUCCACCAGGGCCUCGGAGGAGGAGGAGGAGUUCCUGGCGGCCAUCUUGGAUGUGCGGACUGAUUGUUUAGCGAGAAGAAUUGUGAACAUUUUAGAAAACAAGCCAUUUUACUGAAUCCCUGAAGCUUUGAGGGAGUGGAGGCGACCGAGGACAGAGACCGUCACACGGAACAGUCCGGUGAAAGAAGGCAUGAAGACAUCAUCCUAGUUUUCAGUCAUGGCCGAUAAAAGGAAACUUCAAGGUGAAAUAGAUCGAUGUCUGAAAAAAGUAGCGGAGGGAGUAGAACAGUUUGAAGACAUCUGGCAAAAGGUGAGGAGGGACUGUGACAAGGUUUGUGCAAACUUUUAUUUUUUUAUCUAUCGAUUCACUCUCUCAAUCAUUCCGUCUGUUUUGUCUGUUCAACAUCAGAAAAAAAUGAAAUGCCC